UACAGAGGUCUCAAGCGUUGUUCGGAUUCAUUGGGCGUAAAGGGUGUGUAGGUGGCGCGCUAAGGCGGGGGUGAAAUUUCGGAGCUUAACUCCGAAACUGCAUUCGAUACUGGCGUGCUUGAGGACUGGAGAGGAGACUGGAAUUCAUGGUGUAGCAGUGAAAUGCGUAGAGAUCAUGAGGAAGACCAGUGGCGAAGGCGGGUCUCUGGACAGUUCCUGACGCUGAGGCACGAAGGUCAGGGGAGCAAACGGG
rnacentral:rRNA from 1 species